UGCAGUCGACGAACUCUGGUAUUGAUUGGUGCUUGCAUCAUGAUUUACAUUUGAGUGAGUGGCGAACUGGUGAGUAACACGUGGGAAACCUGCCCAGAAGCGGGGGAUAACACCUGGAAACAGAUGCUAAUACCGCAUAACAACUUGGACCGCAUGGUCCGAGCUUGAAAGAUGGCUUCGGCUAUCACUUUUGGAUGGUCCCGCGGCGUAUUAGCUAGAUGGUGGGGUAACGGCUCACCAUGGCAAUGAUACGUAGCCGACCUGAGAGGGUAAUCGGCCACAUUGGGACUGAGACACGGCCCAAACUCCUACGGGAGGCAGCAGUAGGGAAUCUUCCACAAUGGACGAAAGUCUGAUGGAGCAACGCCGCGUGAGUGAAGAAGGGUUUCGGCUCGUAAAACUCUGUUGUUAAAGAAGAACAUAUCUGAGAGUAACUGUUCAGGUAUUGACGGUAUUUAACCAGAAAGCCACGGCUAACUACGUGCCAGCAGCCGCGGUAAUACGUAGGUGGCAAGCGUUGUCCGGAUUUAUUGGGCGUAAAGCGAGCGCAGGCGGUUUUUUAAGUCUGAUGUGAAAGCCUUCGGCUCAACCGAAGAAGUGCAUCGGAAACUGGGAAACUUGAGUGCAGAAGAGGACAGUGGAACUCCAUGUGUAGCGGUGAAAUGCGUAGAUAUAUGGAAGAACACCAGUGGCGAAGGCGGCUGUCUGGUCUGUAACUGACGCUGAGGCUCGAAAGUAUGGGUAGCAAACAGGAUUAGAUACCCUGGUAGUCCAUACCGUAAACGAUGAAUGCUAAGUGUUGGAGGGUUUCCGCCCUUCAGUGCUGCAGCUAACGCAUUAAGCAUUCCGCCUGGGGAGUACGGCCGCAAGGCUGAAACUCAAAGGAAUUGACGGGGGCCCGCACAAGCGGUGGAGCAUGUGGUUUAAUUCGAAGCUACGCGAAGAACCUUACCAGGUCUUGACAUACUAUGCAAAUCUAAGAGAUUAGACGUUCCCUUCGGGGACAUGGAUACAGGUGGUGCAUGGUUGUCGUCAGCUCGUGUCGUGAGAUGUUGGGUUAAGUCCCGCAACGAGCGCAACCCUUAUUAUCAGUUGCCAGCAUUAAGUUGGGCACUCUGGUGAGACUGCCGGUGACAAACCGGAGGAAGGUGGGGAUGACGUCAAAUCAUCAUGCCCCUUAUGACCUGGGCUACACACGUGCUACAAUGGAUGGUACAACGAGUUGCGAACUCGCGAGAGUAAGCUAAUCUCUUAAAGCCAUUCUCAGUUCGGAUUGUAGGCUGCAACUCGCCUACAUGAAGUCGGAAUCGCUAGUAAUCGCGGAUCAGCAUGCCGCGGUGAAUACGUUCCCGGGCCUUGUACACACCGCCCGUCACACCAUGAGAGUUUGUAACACCCAAAGUCGGUGGGGUAAC
rnacentral:rRNA from 2 species